rnacentral:rRNA from 1 species
GAUGAACGCUGGCGGCGUGCCUAAUACAUGCAAGUCGAACGGAAAGGCCUCUUCGGAGGUACUCGAGUGGCGGACGGCUGAGUAACGCGUAGGAACGUACCCCAAACUGAGGGAUAACUGCUCGAAAGAGUAGCUAAUACCGCAUGUGCUCUACGGAGCAAAGCUUCGGCGGUUUGGGAACGGCAUGCGUAUGAGUAGCUAGUUGGUGAGGUAAUGGCUCACCAAGGCGACGAUCAUUAGCUGGUCUGAGAGGAUGAUCAGCCAGACUGGGACUGAGACACGGCCCAGACUCCUACGGGAGGCAGCAGUAGGGAAUUUUCCACAAUGGGGGCAACCCUGAUGGAGCAACGCCGCGUGCAGGAUGAAGGCUUUCGGGUCGUAAACUGCUUUUAUAUGUGACGAUUUUGACGGUAGCAUAUGAAUAAGGAUCGGCUAACUCCGUGCCAGCCGCCGCCGUAA